ACCCGUUCACCUCUUUCUUUCCAGUUGAAAACCUUGAACCCUUCCAUCUUUACCGUAUUCAUCUCUCUUCCAGUAGACGCAUAUCCUCUUCCCAUAGUCCUCAUCUCCUCUAUCUUUCCCUCUGGCUCCAUCUUUCCCGUUUGGGAACCCUGUUGACUUCAUCUCCUCUAUCUUUCCCGUAUCUCCCAUUCCCAUAGUCCUCAUCUCCUCUAUCUCUCCUCUUCGCAACCUUGAUCCCCAAAUCUUGAACCCAGACCUGUCUUCCCUCACUCUUUCCCGUAUACCUAUCUCUUCCCUCUCAUUCUAAACGACGGGCAGCCACACGAUCGAAACCGACGGGAAUCAACUCCCAAAAUCAAGUUGAUUCAGUCACGCAUUGGUUUGCAACAACCGUACUUGGUUUGCCUCGUAUUCAGUCACGCAUUUAGUCACGCAUUUGUUCAAAAGAUAACUCAAGGUUGAUCCAGUAUAAGGUUAUCCAAUGAUUCCAAUCUGGUUUCUCAUAUGAUUUUAUUUUUGCUUAGCUGAUUUACGCGUGUUAUUAAUUCACCUUUCCUUUUUUCGCUUUUCUACUCUUUAUUUUCUGUCACCUUUUAACAUACCUGAAAAUGAUAUGAAUGCAUACUUCAAUUUUCAAGGGCAAAAGUUUCUAGCAAAAGUUAGUCUUCACAAGGUAAAAGUCAUUUUCUUCUCAAAAACAGGGGUGCGUGCUGCUCCAUUCAUACGCCAAACUGCUAAAAAUUAUUGGAGUCAUGCUUCUUUUGCAUUCGUGCUCUGGUAAGAAGAGGAAUUGUCCUUUUGGUUUAAUUCUUGAAAGAGUAUUGUUCUCCAGGUUCUCCAGAUUUUCAAAAUAUUAUGUGACUUGAGUCUAAAAUAACACAAACACUACUAUUGUGAGUUUAAACUUGAACUAUUACUAUAAAUUGGGUACCGAAAAUUAUGCAUCUUUGAUUUCAUAGGAACUUAUAUGCUUUCCAACAGGUUUGAGGUAAAAUCUACACCUGCUAUAGUGAUUUUGAAAGAUCCUGGUGUCAAACCUGUUGUGUACCACGAUUGUACAUAUAAUUGUUAGUUUG